CUACGGGGCGCUGCAGUGGGGAAUAUUGGACAAUGGGGGAAACCCUGAUGCAGCAACGCCGCGUGGAGGAUGACGCAUUUCGGUGUGUACACUCCUUUUAUAUGUCAAGAAAAUGACGGUAGCAUAUGAAUAAGCACCGGCUAACUCCGUGCCAGCAGGCCGCGGUAAUACGGAGGGUGCAAGCAGUUACUCGGAAUCACUGGGCGUAAAGGACGCGUAGGCGGGUUGGAAAGUCAGGUGUGAAAUCCUACAGCUUAACUGUAGAACUGCACUUGAAACUUCUAAUCUAGAGUAUGGGAGGGGGAGAUGGAAUUAGUGGUGUAGGGGUAAAAUCCGUAGAUAUCACUAGGAAUACCUAAAGCGAAGGCGAUCUCCUGGAACAUUACUGACGCUAAGGCGUGAAAGCGUGGGGAGCAAACAGGAUUAGAUACCCGGGUAGUC
rnacentral:rRNA from 1 species